rnacentral:rRNA from 1 species
UGGCGGCGUGCUAACACAUGCAAGUCGAGCGGUAACGCGGGAGCAAUCCUGGCGACGAGCGGCGAACGGGUGAGUAAUGCUUCGGAAUCUGCCCAGUAGUGGGGAAUAACCAGCCGAAAGGUUGGCUAAUACCGCAUACGUCCUACGGGAGAAAGCGGGGGAUCGUAAGACCUCGCGCUAUUGGAUGAGCCGAAGCCGGAUUAGCUAGUUGGUAGGGUAAUGGCCUACCAAGGCGACGAUCCGUAGCUGGUCUGAGAGGACGACCAGCCACACUGGGACUGAGACACGGCCCAGACUCCUACGGGAGGCAGCAGUGGGGAAUAUUGGACAAUGGGGGAAACCCUGAUCCAGCGACGCCGCGUGUGUGAAGAAGGCCUGCGGGUUGUAAAGCACUUUUAGUGGGGAUGAAAAGCCCAGGGAUAACACCUCUGGGUCUUGACCUAACCCACAGAAAAAGCACCGGCUAACUCUGUGCCAGCAGCCGCGGUAAUACAGAGGGUGCGAGCGUUAAUCGGAAUUACUGGGCGUAAAGCGUGCGUAGACGGUAGCGUAAGUCGGGUGUGAAAGCCCCGGGCUCAACCUGGGAAUUGCAUUCGAGACUGCUCUGCUA